AGCAGUAGCCGCGGGAAUACGUAGGUCCCGAGCGUUGUCCGGAUUUAUUGGGUGUAAAGCGAGCGCAGGCGGUUAGAUAAGUCUGAAGUUAAAGGCUGUGGCUUAACCAUAGUACGCUUUGGAAACUGUUUAACUUGAGUGCAAGAGGGGAGAGUGGAAUUCCAUGUGUAGCGGUGAAAUGCGUAGAUAUAUGGAGGAACACCGGUGGCGAAAGCGGCUCUCUGGCUUGUAACUGACGCUGAGGCUCGAAAGCGUGGGGAGCAAACAGGAUUAGAUACCCCGGUAGUCCCUGUCUCUUAUACA
rnacentral:rRNA from 1 species